GGGACUCGUGAGAGACUGCCGGGGUCAACUCGGAGGAAGGUGGGGAUGACGUCAAGUCAUCAUGCCCCUUAUGUCCAGGGCUUCACACAUGCUACAAUGGCGCGUACAGAGGGCUGCGAUACCGCGAGGUGGAGCGAAUCCCUUAAAGCGCGUCUCAGUUCGGAUUGGGGUCUGCAACUCGACCCCAUGAAGUCGGAGUCGCUAGUAAUCGCAGAUCAGCAACGCUGCGGUGAAUACGUUCCCGGGCCUUGUACACACCGCCCGUCACGUCAUGAAAGUCGGUAACACCCGAAGCCGGUGGCCUAACCCCUUGUGGGAGGGAGCUGUCGAAGGUGGGAUUGGCGAUUGGGACGAAGUCGUAACAAGGUAGCCGUACCGGAAGGUGCGGCUGGAUCACCUCCUUUCUAAGGAG
rnacentral:rRNA from 1 species